CCCUCCAACCUAAGCCGUUCUAUGAUUCUAUGUUGCUGCUUAUCAGUUUUUGCCUACACAGUAUCUUUCCCAGAUUUCUAUCUGAUUACGUAAUAUGAGAUUUGUUCAUACUUUAUGAGUUACUCUUUUUUUUUUUUUUUUUUUUAAUAACCCUAUAUAGCUCUCAGAGCUGGGGAGUCCAGCAAUAGAAUAAAUCCAAAUUGACUCUUCUGCAGGAUAUGAUUGAUGGUUGAAAUGAGCUCUCCGUUCAUAACAAGCUUGGAAAGAUGAGAGAGGUAUGGUGUGAUAAGUAUGAAGGAAAGAGAGGAAACGAAGUUUUCGGGGCUUAACCAUGUUUUGCUCAGUCUUUUGCUCUGUUUGUCGAGGACUUGUACUGUACGGUAAUGUAGGCCCUGAGGCCAGAGCUUAAGGAAUUUCUGUCCUGUGCAGGUGUGUUACAGAACUGGUAGAGGAGAUCACUGCUGUUACUGCAAAAAAAAAAAAAAAAAGGCUCAGGUGUAGGCCUCAGGUAAUUAACUUAUCCAUCUCUGGUAGUGUAAAUGUUGUAAGAGCUGAUGGUGGUAACCAUUUGCAUCCUUUUGUUGGCCUGUCUUAAACUUUUUACAAGAUUUUCUCAAAAUGAACUUUCUAAUUGAGGGGAGUAAAAGGAUAAUUUGUAGAUAACCUCAAAGCCUACGGUCCUGUUGAUUUAAAAUACGCCAAUGUGAGUUUCUACACGCAAACAGCUGUGAAUUAUUUUUUUAUUUAAAUUUUCACAUUACUAUUUUUUCUCCUUGGCUCCUUCACCUGACUUAACUGCUGAAGUGGAAAGCCCUAAGGCCCAUUUAUUUUUUAAAGAAGUGUCUUUAAAGCACCAGAAGUGCUUGCCAAAACCAAACGUCAUCCAAAUACUGUUGCUUACAAACGCAGAAGUCUUUUGCGGAUUGUUCUUCAAAGUUAUUGUGCUGUCCUUCAGGUAGUUCUGAUGCAAGAUCAACUUUGCAACUAACAAAUAAAAUGGAGGAAAAGUUGUCCCUCUCCUUUACCAUGUCUGCUACAAAGUAUUGUUUUUCUCGAUUUCAUUAUAAGUCUCCCACAAUCUGGGAUUUUAAAUGCCACGUCUCCUAGAAAAAUGAAUAUAAACACACAGUCUGAUGUGGUGCCAGAUCUUAGUAAACUAAAUGUCUACAAAAGCAGGCUGGAAAAUGCGAACCCCAAAUCCAAGAAAGCUAUAAAGCACAUUAAACCAAUCCAUGAAUUCAGUUUUUAAAAUUGGCACUUGAAUUUUUGAUGGUUGAAAUAGUACCGUGGAAAAUAUAUUUUUGCAAAUAAGCAAAAGGGAUCCAGGCAAGGUGGCAGCUUCUACUUUUGUCUAAAUAAGACAGUAAUUCUUUUUCUGCCCCUUUGUGGUUGCCCAGACAUUGGCUUUAGGCGUUUCUUUAUAUUUCAGUCUAAGCAGAUGGAGCUGAAGUGGGCCAUCCCGUGGCUCUUCCCACCGUGGUUGUUACUCAGAGCAACAGAACCAGCAGCGGGUGCCUUUCUUCACUGCUGCUCCAGACCCAAAGCUGUCAUCAACCUCUCAGAGAUUGUGCAGGAGGGGUUCUGCAAAUUACAGUACCUUUGAUGCACUUUACAUACACAGCCUGUCACAUUCAGGUGUUUCUAGAUGUGUUUAUUUCUUUGUAGACUUCACGCAGUUAGUCUUCUGUAUAGAGUGGUUUGCAUUAACAGAUCUCUCUCUUAAUGCUUGCAAAACUACCCAACUAAACACAAGCCAGACACCUAAAAAAACAUAUUCUGCCUCUGCUAAUGAAAACUAACUGUUGCUAAAAUAAAAAUGAUGCUUGUUUACAAGCUGACAUCCAUCCAUCCUAUGCACUGGUAUAGAGACCCAGGAAUAAGCCAUGCAACUGCUUUGCUGGAAGGUGACCUGGAGAUACCCAAGGGAGAACAAAAACAUGGUUUUACUUCUGCCAAGUGCAACACUGAACUGUACAGUGUCAGCUCCCCACACCUGGGGGCUUAUGGUGGUAACAAGGCAACUGGGUAUGAGUGGAAGAAUUAGGUAAAGAGGUUGCGAAUUAUUAGAAGAUUGAUAAUUAACAGAUGCUACUUAUUAAUGUGUGGUGAGGAGACCUGUGAGAUAACGCUGAUGGGAAUAACUUGCUGGGGUGUGCACUGAAUUAAUGUGUCUCUCAGGACUGCUGCUGGUGAAUAUCUCUUUGGAAGUCCAGCACAUUCUCAGCAACGUGAACCAAGCCACAGUCCUUUCAGUGCUGUGCACUGUGACCCUCGUUUAACGCAGGGUAUGCAUUCAAAACUGGAAAGAUGUCUCUGCAAAGAUAUGUCCCAACCAGUCCUUCCACGCAGCCUCAACCUAAAGGCUGAUCUCAUUGCUAUCAGUUCAAAUGAUCUCUUCCAUAAUUUGCACAAGCACCUAAGUGACCUUGGGAGAGAAGGGGAAAAUCAAUUUGACCACAGUGUAUGACAGGAUCACCUAUCCUUGUUUUCUAUGAAGUGUAUGAAAUGUUCUGCAGGUUUUAUCCUGCAGUCCGUUGCUGCUGCUUCUGCAACAGCCAGAGGAUGUUUCCCCACUCUACAAGCCAGCUCCACGCAGCCUUUUUUCCUGGCUCACUCUAUUAUUCUACUCACAGUGGUGACGGAAAAAAACCUUCCUGCAAACCGGCAGCUGUGGUUGAAUGCAGCAGUGUUCUUUAAUGGAAAGCAGUAAUAAAAAAAAAUAAAAAGCUUCAUGGAGCAUGCCCCAGCAAAGCGUGACUUACUGUAAUGGUCAUUAGAGUCAUUUCCAUUUCUGUGUUUUAGAUAUUAAGGCAUAAUAUGCUGCUCUUAGUCAUCCUGUUCAUGGAGAUUAAUAAAAUAUAGCUCUUGAAUC
ensembl:lncRNA